AGAUUGAACGCUGGCGGCAUGCCUAACACAUGCAAGUCGAACGGGAGUAGCAAUACUCUAGUGGCGGACGGGUGAGGAAUACGUAGGAAUUUGCCCUUAAGUGGGGGAUAACCCGGGGAAACCCGGAUUAAUACCGCAUGACCUCGAAAGAGCAAAGUGGGGGAUCGCAAGACCUCACGCUUUUGGAGAAGCCUACGUCGGAUUAGCUAGUUGGUGAGGUAAUGGCUCACCAAGGCGACGAUCCGUAACUGGUCUGAGAGGAUGAUCAGUCACACCGGAACUGAGACACGGUCCGGACUCCGUACGGGAGGCAGCAGGUGGGGAAUAGUUGGACAAGUGGGCGCAAGCCUGAUCCAGCAAUGCCGCGUGUGUGAAGAAGGCCGUUGGUUAGUAAGCUAACGUUUAAGUUAGGGAAAGUAAAAACGUCG
rnacentral:rRNA from 1 species